rnacentral:rRNA from 1 species
GAGUUUGAUCAUGGCUCAGGACGAACGCUGGCGGCGUGCCUAAUACAUGCAAGUAGAACGCUGAAGAGAGGAGCUUGCUCUUCUUGGAUGAGUUGCGAACGGGUGAGUAACGCGUAGGUAACCUGCCUUGUAGCGGGGGAUAACUAUUGGAAACGAUAGCUAAUACCGCAUAACAAUAGGUGACACAUGUCAUUUAUUUGAAAGGGGCAAUUGCUCCACUACAAGAUGGACCUGCGUUGUAUUAGCUAGUAGGUGAGGUAACGGCUCACCUAGGCGACGAUACAUAGCCGACCUGAGAGGGUGAUCGGCCACACUGGGACUGAGACACGGCCCAGACUCCUACGGGAGGCAGCAGUAGGGAAUCUUCGGCAAUGGGGGCAACCCUGACCGAGCAACGCCGCGUGAGUGAAGAAGGUUUUCGGAUCGUAAAGCUCUGUUGUAAGUCAAGAACGAGUGUGAGAGUGGAAAGUUCACACUGUGACGGUAGCUUACCAGAAAGGGACGGCUAACUACGUGCCAGCAGCCGCGGUAAUACGUAGGUCCCGAGCGUUGUCCGGAUUUAUUGGGCGUAAAGCGAGCGCAGGCGGUUUGAUAAGUCUGAAGUUAAAGGCUGUGGCUCAACCAUAGUUCGCUUUGGAAACUGUCAAACUUGAGUGCAGAAGGGGAGAGUGGAAUUCCAUGUGUAGCGGUGAAGUGCGUAGAUAUAUGGAGGAACACCGGUGGCGAAAGCGGCUCUCUGGUCUGUAACUGACGCUGAGGCUCGAAAGCGUGGGGAGCGAACAGGAUUAGAUACCCUGGUAGUCCACGCCGUAAGCGAUGAGUGCUAGGUGUUGGAUCCUUUCCGGGAUUCAGUGCCGCAGCUAACGCAUUAAGCACUCCGCCUGGGGAGUACGACCGCAAGGUUGAAACUCAAAGGAAUUGACGGGGGCCCGCACAAGCGGUGGAGCAUGUGGUUUAAUUCGAAGCAACGCGAAGAACCUUACCAGGUCUUGACAUCCCGAUGCUAUUUCUAGAGAUAGAAAGUUACUUCGGUACAUCGGUGACAGGUGGUGCAUGGUUGUCGUCAGCUCGUGUCGUGAGAUGUUGGGUUAAGUCCCGCAACGAGCGCAACCCCUAUUGUUAGUUGCCAUCAUUCAGUUGGGCACUCUAGCGAGACUGCCGGUAAUAAACCGGAGGAAGGUGGGGAUGACGUCAAAUCAUCAUGCCCCUUAUGACCUGGGCUACACACGUGCUACAAUGGUUGGUACAACGAGUUGCGAGUCGGUGACGGCAAGCUAAUCUCUUAAAGCCAAUCUCAGUUCGGAUUGUAGGCUGCAACUCGCCUACAUGAAGUCGGAAUCGCUAGUAAUCGCGGAUCAGCACGCCGCGGUGAAUACGUUCCCGGGCCUUGUACACACCGCCCGUCAA